rnacentral:rRNA from 3 species
UGGGGAAUAUUGCACAAUGGGCGCAAGCCUGAUGCAGCGACGCCGCGUGCGGGAUGACGGCCUUCGGGUUGUAAACCGCUUUUGAUCGGGAGCAAGCCUUCGGGUGAGUGUACCUUUCGAAUAAGCACCGGCUAACUACGUGCCAGCAGCCGCGGUAAUACGUAGGGUGCAAGCGUUAUCCGGAAUUAUUGGGCGUAAAGGGCUCGUAGGCGGUUCGUCGCGUCCGGUGUGAAAGUCCAUCGCUUAACGGUGGAUCUGCGCCGGGUACGGGCGGGCUGGAGUGCGGUAGGGGAGACUGGAAUUCCCGGUGUAACGGUGGAAUGUGUAGAUAUCGGGAAGAACACCAAUGGCGAAGGCAGGUCUCUGGGCCGUUACUGACGCUGAGGAGCGAAAGCGUGGGGAGCGAACAGG